UACGAAGGGGGCUAGCGUUGUUCGGAAUUACUGGGCGUAAAGCGCACGUAGGCGGCUCGAUCAGUCAGGGGUGAAAUCCCAGGGCUCAACCCUGGAACUGCCUUUGAUACGGUCGAUCUGGAGUAUGGAAGAGGUGAGUGGAAUUCCGAGUGUAGAGGUGAAAUUCGUAGAUAUUCGGAGGAACACCAGUGGCGAAGGCGGCUCACUGGUCCAUUACUGACGCUGAGGUGCGAAAGCGUGGGGAGCAAACAGG
rnacentral:rRNA from 1 species